rnacentral:lncRNA from 1 species
AUGUGCCAGCCCACAGCGCACCUCAGCUGCGUCCAACCUGUCAGGUCUCCCUCUCAGUGUCCCGGGGUGACAGCGGAGUCUGUAGGUGCCAGGCGGGUGUGCCGUCCUCGUGGGAGAGGUGGGGAUGGGCUUGGGUGGAGGGCGCCGGGCUGCAUGGCACAGGGGUGCUGGGAGCAGCUGUGGCAUCUCCAAAAGACAAGUCACUCAGCAGAGCAGGGAGCAGUCCAGGCAGCUUCCUGGAGGAGGAGGCGCUCCAGAGAGCAGUUGUGCAGGCUGGUCUGCUGCCCAGGGGAGCGCCCGUGCCUGGUUCCAGGGUCUGGGAGGGGGAGGGAAGCAGGCGUGCGGACUCAAAACACUCCCCUGGGCCCCCCCUUGGCCUCUGGCUCCUUCCACGGCCGAACCCAGACACCUAAUUCACAGGCAGCCACGUCUGUGCGGCGCUCACGGGCCUGUUCUAACCCGGGGAGGGCGCCCUGCUCUUCCCCGACGUGUCUCUCUCUGCGUGGAGGCCGCAGGAGGAGUGACCGUGCCCGAGGUGUGGCCGGGCUCCCCGCCUGCUGUGAGUCAGGUCCCUCUCCCAGCCAGCCCGCGCCUGCUGGGGCCUCCUGGGUCGCGGGCCUCAUCCUGACCCCCCUCUUCGUGCUCAGCCGCCACCUGCUUUGCGGGGAGACACCUGGGAGGGCUGCUUUCUUUCGGUCAGGUGCGUUUGCUGUGGGCGGACGUCAGGGUCUCCUUGUCCCGCCACCUCCACACCUUCAGAGCCUGGUCCCUCCACGGGAGGGUCCUGUCAGACGUGGGGCUGUAGGGGUGACAGCGGACCCUUGGCUCAGGCUCUCCUCACCUGGAGGGAGCAGCAGGGACUGCCCGAGGCAGUGCUGGGGAGGGCUCGACUUCGCCCAGCAGAUGUGGCUGGAGCCCCUGCACAUGGGACAUGGGGUUCUGUCCCCGUGGCAUGUGGCCUCCAGAAGGACACUUAGGUUUUUGCUAAUUUUUUUUCUUAUUUUUAUUUUCGUUGCUUUUUAG